ACAAGGGGAUAACUGAUUAUCACACUGAGAGCAUCACAAUUGCAAUUAAAGUUGAGCUCCAAAAGUGUGGGGAAAGUAAGCUGUUUCUCUUCCCUAGCCCAGCAUAAGAAAGGCUCCUUACUGGCCACAGCAACAACUGUCUGGAAGUGUCAUUCCCUUCAUGAGUCUGCACCAUGUCCUGAAUGAAGGAGGAUAAAUAAUAAGCCUAUCUUCCUUGGUACUGCUGAGGAUACUGGUCCCGUGGCUGGCUGUGUUCUUUAUCUGAGUGAGAGAUGGCCAAAGCAGCAACUGACUCAGGCCCCAAACUGUAGCUUUGGGAUCUGUUAGUGAUACAUUUGCAGCUCCCUACAGGUCUUAUCACUGCUGCUAUGGGAAGUCGAAACCAUGGCACCUGCUGGCUUUAGAAAACUAGCCCUAAGCUGUGUGGACGGGCAUGCCCUGUCAGCUGGAAGCUGCACUGAGCUUUUUUACCCUCAUCACCCACCCCUCAUCUGAACUAAGGAUCAGACCCUCAGCUGGCGUGACCCAGCGUGUGGAAAUAUGGUGGAGCCCUGCCAGAUGCUGCUGAGGCCUGCCACCAAGAGACAAAUCCCAGAAGGAGAAGGGAUCCUGUUGAGGAGGGAAGAGAUGAAAGCAGAAAAAGAGACGCAUUUAUUAAGCUGUUUUUCUUUCAGUGAAAAGAAGCAUUUAUCAGUGAUUUCAUAUAUCAUGUGAGAUGUGGCUUCCUGCCAAUUUCUAAGGAUGCAAAUGAGCCGCUGACAUCAUACACUAAAUAUAGAGCAGCUCCUGCUUUAUGUGAAUAAAUAAUGCAGAUGCAAAAGCCCAAGACUUCAGUUACACAUUCAUUACCAUCCGUCUGUCAGGUUCUCAGCAUUGAGAGAACCACGUCCGACUCCAGCAAGGAGUGACAGGUGAAGAAUGCAAAACAACUGUAGACAAUAGGUGAUUAAGCAGAAUUUCCUUGUUCUCUGCUUUUUUUCUUAGAGCUACAUUUCAUUUUAGCAGCAAUUCAUGGUGCAGCUUUUCCAGUGUAGCUCUGCCGCCUUCCUCGCUUUCCCUUCGAGCCAAGCUGGAGCGACAAGCCUGGGUGAGGGGGGGAAC